UACGUAGGGACCAAGCGUUGUUCGGAUUUACUGGGCGUAAAGGGCGCGUAGGCGGCGCGGUAAGUCACUUGUGAAAUCUCUGAGCUUAACUCAGAACGGCCAAGUGAUACUGCAGUGCUAGAGUGUGGAAGGGGCAAUCGGAAUUCUUGGUGUAGCGGUGAAAUGCGUAGAUAUCUGGAGGAACACCGGUGGCGAAGGCGGCAUUCUGGACCGGCAUUGACGCUGAGGCGCGAAAGCCAGGGGAGCAAACGGG
rnacentral:rRNA from 1 species